UGAGGAGUCUGUUGAAGACGAGGAGUCC
rnacentral:piRNA from 1 species